CGCGUAGGUGGUAGUGCAAGUCUGAGGUGGAAUCUUAGGGCUUAACCCUAAAAAUUGCCCUGGAAACUGCAUUACUUGAGUCAGUGAGGGGAGGGUAGAAUUCCUGGUGUAGCGGUGAAAUGCGUAGAUAUCAGGAGGAAGGCCGGUGGCGAAGGCGGCCCUCUGGCGCUGAACUGACACUGAGGCGCGAAAGCGUGGGGAGCAAACAGGAUUAGAUACCCUGGUAGUCCACGCCCUAAACGGUGGGUACUAGGUGUAGGGCUCGUAAGGGUUCUGUGCCGAAGCGAAAGCAUUAAGUACCCCGCCUGGGGAGUACGGCCGCAAGGUUGAA
rnacentral:rRNA from 1 species